rnacentral:rRNA from 1 species
CCUACGGGUGGCUGCAGUGGGGAAUAUUGCACAAUGGGCGCAAGCCUGAUGCAGCCAUGCCGCGUGUGUGAAGAAGGCCUUCGGGUUGUAAAGCACUUUCAGCGGGGAGGAAGGCGGUGAGGUUAAUAACCUCAUCGAUUGACGUUACCCGCAGAAGAAGCACCGGCUAACUCCGUGCCAGCAGCCGCGGUAAUACGGAGGGUGCAAGCGUUAAUCGGAAUUACUGGGCGUAAAGCGCACGCAGGCGGUCUGUCAAGUCGGAUGUGAAAUCCCCGGGCUCAACCUGGGAGCUGCAUUCGAAACUGGCAGGCUAGAGUCUUGUAGAGGGGGGUAGAACUCCAGGUGUAGCGGUGAAAUGCGUAGAGAUCUGGAGGAAUACCGGUGGCGAAGGCGGCCCCCUGGACAAAGACUGACGCUCAGGUGCGAAGGCGUGGGGAGCAAACAGGAUUAGAUACCCCGGUAGUC